GACGAUGUCCUUGGCUCAGAGUGUGCUGAUGUGGGCUCGAAUGGCUGGUCAGGGCUUAAUGACCAGAAACUCCUGAUGUUCAAGGGCAGCACUGGUAUUAAGAUGGAAGCUCUGGAGAUACAGCAAUGAGAGCAAAACAGAGGAAAAUAUCUUUUCUUCAAGGAGCUUUGAAUCAAAAUGGGAAAAUAAGAACCAGGCUCAGAGAGGACCUUCUUGGGCUUUGAACAUAGCUACCACAUUGAUAUGCAGGGUGGCAUCCUCCUCACAUGGAAUGUUUUGUGAAACAAAAGGCAAAGCAGAAGAACCUCCAGAAUCUAAGGCUACUUGUGUAGGCAGCUGAUUUGUAAAGGCAGGAACAUGGAAAAUUCACCAUUGGCUAGAAAGCAUUGAUGAAAACCCUGUCCUGGGACAGCCACUGGACUUGGCACAGCUUGAAUUUGAAUCCAAGACCAUCUGCCCUGAACUCACAUUCUCUCUACCACCCCCAUGUUUUGUUUCAUUUAUUUUUGUUCAGUAGUAGAGUCUUAUCUUCAAAUAAAAUCUUAC